GGUGAAAAGGUUAACUGCCUGAGGAUGAGCUCGCGUCUGAUUAGCUAGUUGGAGUGGUAACGGCACACCAAGGCGACGAUCAGUAGCUGGUCUGAGAGGAUGAUCAGCCACACUGGGACUGAGACACGGCCCAGACUCCUACGGGAGGCAGCAGUGGGGAAUUUUCCGCAAUGGGCGAAAGCCUGACGGAGCAAGACCGCGUGAGGGAGGAAGGCCUAUUGGUUGUAAACCUCUUUUGAUAGGGAAGAACACAAUGACGGUACCUAUCGAAUCAGCAUCGGCUAACUCCGUGCCAGCAGCCGCGGUAAUACGGAGGAUGCAAGCGUUAUCCGGAUUUAUUGGGCGUAAAGCGUCCGUAGGUGGUGAGCCAAGUCAGUUGUUAAAGCGUAGAGCUUAACUCUAUAAGGGCAAUUGAAACUGGUUCGCUAGAGUGCGACAGGGGCAAGGGGAAUUUCCAGUGUAGCGGUGAAAUGCGUAGAUAUUGGAAAGAACAUCGGUGG
rnacentral:rRNA from 1 species